CUGGGCCUACGGGAGGCAGCAGUGAGGAAUAUUGGUCAAUGGGCGGGAGCCUGAACCAGCCAAGUCGCGUGAAGGAAGAAGGUACUUAGUAUUGUAAACUUCUUUUGUCGGGGAACAAAGGCGGAGACGCGUCUCCGGAUGAGUGUACCCGAAGAAAAAGCAUCGGCUAACUCCGUGCCAGCAGCCGCGGUAAUACGGAGGAUGCGAGCGUUAUCCGGAUUUAUUGGGUUUAAAGGGUGCGCAGGCGGGAGAUCAAGUCAGCGGUAAAAUCGUGGGGCCCAACCCCAUCCCGCCGGUGAAACUGG
rnacentral:rRNA from 1 species